CCUACGGGAGGCUGCAGUGGGGAAUAUUGCUCAAUGGGGGAAACCCUGAUGCAGCGACGCCGCGUGAGUGAAGAAGUAUUUCGGUAUUUAAAGCUCUAUUAGCAGGGAAGAAAAUGACGGUACCUGAUUAAGAAGCCCCGGCUAACUACGUGCCAGCAGCCGCGGGAAUACGUAGGGGGCAAGCGUUAUCCGGAUUUACUGGGUGUAAAGGGAGCGUAGACGGCAGCACAAGUCUGGAGUGAAAUGCCGGGGCUUAACCCCGGAACUGCUUUGGAAACUGUGCAGCUAGAGUGCAGGAGAGGUAAGUGGAAUUCCUAGUGUAGCGGUGAAAUGCGUAGAUAUUAGGAGGAACACCAGUGGCGAAGGCGGCUUACUGGACUGUAACUGACGUUGAGGCUCGAAAGCGUGGGGAGCAAACAGGAUUAGAUACCCCAGUAGUC
rnacentral:rRNA from 1 species